ACAGCAGUAGCCGCGGUAAUACGGAGGGUGCAAGCGUUAAUCGGAAUUACUGGGCGUAAAGCGCACGCAGGCGGUCUGACAAGUCAGAUGUGAAAUCCCCGGGCUUAACCUGGGAACUGCAUUUGAAACUGUCAGGCUGGAGUCUUGUAGAGGGGGGUAGAAUUCCAGGUGUAGCGGUGAAAUGCGUAGAGAUCUGGAGGAAUACCGGUGGCGAAGGCGGCCCCCUGGACAAAGACUGACGCUCAGGUGCGAAAGCGUGGGGAGCAAACAGGAUUAGAUACCCCUGUAGUCCCUGUCUCUUAUAA
rnacentral:rRNA from 1 species